rnacentral:lncRNA from 1 species
GUGUGUGUGUGUGCACAUGAUAUUUCUUCAAAAUUUAUCAGCUGAAAUGAAGUUCAGUUUGCAGGAUACGGGCAGCAGUCAUCUAGGUACGAAACAACGGACUUCCACCACACUCAUAGGGAAGCUAAUGACGUUCACUACAGCCACUUCCGCGUCAACUGUAGCGCAAUCACUGGGGCCUCUCUGCUCCUUGGAAAAGGUCAAAUGGGACUUGCUAGACUCUCAUCCCAUCAGUGUUUUCCAGCUAAAUUGUCUUGAGCCUGGUGAGCCUGCAUCUUCCUCCUCCUACCUUCCACUCCAGAGCCUGGUGGCAUCAGAGUUCAGCCCCACUACCCAUCUCUCCGUUUUUCUGGGGUUUCCAAAUGAGAAUGGACAGUGACCCACAGGCCACUCAGCCUGGGAAGACCCCACCCCUGCUCUUCCGUGUAACUGGCUCCCUGUGCACUCAAGCAAUUGGAAUUUCUCGGUGAGCAGUAGUCAAGCUGACUAAGGACAUGAGAGGCCAACUCAGCUUCUCUUUGGUGGUUUCAUGACCUGGUUAGCCCCCCUGCCUUCCAGUCCUGGAAGACCUGCAACACACCCACAUCAGCGAUCAGUCCCUGCACCACCCUCCGAGGACUCUCCCACUGAAUCCAAUACGAAGCCACAAGGAAAGUAAAUGCAAAAAAUACUAUUUGUAUAUACUAGCACUUUUCCAACACAGUGUAAUAAAAUUAGGAAUAACAAAACUCCAACAAAAAAAAAAAAUCUAGAUUCUUAGAAUAUUAAAUCUAUCUUCCCAUGACUGGAACCUCUGUCGUCCUUUCUUUCUUGUUCUUCCUUUCUUCCUUCCAUUCCCUUCCAUUUCCACAACUUGUCUUUUUUUUUUUUUUUCGCUUUGUUUUUUAAUGAGUCUCAGGUGCAGAGGAACACCUUAAUCCUGGGUGUGAGGUUAAGAUACACUGUCGCCGUGAACCCACACAAGGACUCUUUCUUUUUCAUAUCAAUGUCCUCCUUCCUCCUCAGGCCCCCAUGCUGAUGUGCCGGAUUUGUGCUUACUUGUCUAUGUACGUGUUUGUGGCAGACACGGCUUCUCGUCUUCCUUACACCCUAAUGGGAUUUGUAGCAGGGUGUGAGGCAUGACUACACCACUUAAUUUUGGCAAUGGGACAUGGGCAAAAUGACGUGCCAACUUCUAGGUGGCCCUAUGGGCAGAAGUGCAUAUUUCUCAUUCCUUUUCUUCCUUCCCACUGCACAGAUUGUGGGUAUGUGGUAGGAGAUUAAACAGCCUCAGAGGAUCCGGACAUAAAAGCCACAAUCGAGGUGGAAAAGCCCAAUGAUAGAAGCAGUAGGGUCCUUGGUGAUUUUGAACCACAAUACUCCCCUGGGCUGCCUACCUGAAUUUUUACAAGAGAAAAAAAGUGUUUCUAGUUGCAUUUAUUAUCAUUUUGAGUGCUUCUGUUAUAGCCAUUGAUCCAAUUUCCUAAAUGAAGGCAGCAUCUUGGCGAAGUAUGCAGGGCCAUUUAAUGUGUCUGCAUGAGUUUCACAUUGUGAAUGGUAGUGUUUUCUUUCUUUAGUUUUUCCUUUUUUAAGACUUUAUUUAUUUAUUUAUUCAUGAGACACACACACACAGAGGCAAAGACACAGGCAGAGGGAGAAGCAGGCUCCCUGCAGGGAGCCCGAUGCAAGACUUGAUCCUGGGACCCCAGGAUCACGACCUGAGCUGAAGGCAGACGCCCAACCACUGAGCCAACCAGAUGCCUGUCUUUAGUUUUUCGCUCAGCACUAUUUUUAAAAAAUCUAUCCUUGCUACAGUGAGCACAUCUAGUCCCUGCUUCUAAGUGCUGAAGAGUAGCCCACUGUGGCCUCUAGCAUAUCCCUGUAACAUUGCCCCAUGCACUCCCCUAGUGAGAGACACCUAGAAGAUUUCCAGCUUCCCCCUACCGCAACCAACACCGUGACCAUCUCCUUGGUGAUGUCCCUAAGGAAACUUUAAAGGAAUUUCUCUUGGGUAUAUGGCAAGGGAACAAUCGCUGGACAUAGAGCAGUCUCACGGUCAUUCCAUCAAAUUCCUCCAAAUCAUUUCCCAGAAUGGCUUUACCAGUCUGCACGUCCGUUAGCAAUGCCCAAGCACGCCUAUCCCUCACAUCCUUGACAACAGUUUAUUUCAGUUUCUAAUUUUUGCCAGUCUCAGGCGACUCACUUCUAUUCGCAGUUCUAUGAUUCUAGUGUUUAUGUAACCGUUCACGUACUUGUUAGCCAUUUGGGUUUCCCCUUUUGGGAAUUUCCCCUUCACACCCUUUCCCCGCUUUGUGAUACAUUCUUGACAUUGAUUCAUGUUGGUUUUAGUCCCAUCUAUUCAUGAUCCUUCGGGGCCGAAAUCCUUAGGACCUUAUUCAUUGAGACCCUAGAGCCCUUUAGCAUAGUUUCCCCAGUGGUCUGCAACUCUGUGCCCCCCACCCCCACCGCAGAGCCCGGACAUUCCCAAGGUCCCUGAGCUGCCAACCAAGUGUCCUCAGCUUCCAGUAACUCUACUGGUGAGUCAACUCUCCCCUCACUCGCCCUCACUGUAUAUUUUUGUCCCUAAACCUAAAUACAGCAGUCAGAUGGCCACCCUCUUGCUUUCCUGUACCCUUUUGCUUCCUGUGUUAAGGAGCAGAGGGGAGCAGGCUGGGAUUUGGACCACCUGCUAGAGGCCAAUACUUAAGACUUCUACAUUUGGAGGCUGGGCUGGGGCCGGGGGUUGGGAGGAUGGGGAGGUUGGGGGUCCAGCGGGCCACACAAGGUGGGGUCUAGGGCUCCCCCAUCUCGCCAGCCCACGGCCCCCCCAGGAUGUGUUCCUCAGCACCCGGCCACAGGCCAUCGUGUCACAGAGGUGGGGCGGGGAGCACAGGGCCCGGGCCCAAGCACCUGCUGGAGCGCACCCUCCGCGCAGCCUGCAGCUCCCGGGAAGACCUGGAGGCCGAUCCCGCAGCCCGCACCUCCCCGGAGCCAUCCAGGCCUGGCCGGGCCUCUGCAGGGUGCGCCCCGCCAUGCAGCCACAGGCCCGGGACCGCCCCCUCCCAAUAAAAGAGACUUGGGUGUCUGAAAAAAUUCAACAUUUGGAAAUGGAAAUUUGGAUAAAAAAAACUUUUUAAAGACUAUUUACUUAUCUAUUCAUGAGACACAGAGAGAGGCAGAGACACAGGCAGAGGGAGAAGCAGGUUCUCUGAGGGGACCCCAAUGCGGGCCUCGACCCCAGGACCCUGGAUCACACCCUGAGCCUUGGAAGGCAGACGCUCAACCACUGAGCCACCCAGGUGCCCCCGGAUGAAGAAUCUAAAUGAGAAGCUCCUAAGGUCCCUCCUGAUAGUCAAGAGUCCAACUCUUCAGAGUCCAUGUGGGAAUUUACAGAACUUUCCAAAGCGAGAGGUUCCCAUCAGCUCGACUCCUGACUUCUGGUGUGUUUACUGACCUUCCCGGGAGGCCUGUCCCGCCCUCGGCCUAGCGGAGCCCACGGGCGGUGGUGCUCAGGGACACAGCCUUGGCCAACCUGUAGCGUUU